GACGAACGCUGGCGGCGUGCUUAACACAUGCAAGUCGAACGGAAAGGCCCUGCUUUUGUGGGGUGCUCGAGUGGCGAACGGGUGAGUAACACGUGAGUAACCUGCCCUUGCCUUUGGGAUAACUUCAGGAAACUGGGGCUAAUACCGGAUAGGAGCUCCUGCUGCAGGGGGGGGGUGGGAAAGUUUCGGCGGUUGGGGAUGGACUCGCGGCUUAUCAGCUUGUUGGUGGGGUAGUGGCUUACCAAGGCUUUGACGGGUAGCCGGCCUGAGAGGGUGACCGGCCACAUUGGGACUGAGAUACGGCCCAGACUCCUACGGGAGGCAGCAGUGGGGAAUAUUGCACAAUGGGCGGAAGCCUGAUGCAGCAACGCCGCGUGCGGGAUGACGGCCUUCGGGUUGUAAACCGCUUUCGCCUGUGACGAAGCGUGAGUGACGGUAAUGGGUAAAGAAGCACCGGCUAACUACGUG
rnacentral:rRNA from 1 species